rnacentral:sRNA from 1 species
AAUGAAAUUUACUGUUUUAAUUGUACUGGUCCUUUUGGCGGCUCAAGCAAGCUGUCAAACUUCACCGGUACGACCCCCUAGAAGGACCAGAAGGACAAUGCGACCUCCCGGGGCAAGGUGAUAAAAUCCUGCUAAUGGAACUAGAAGGUCACAGGUAGAUGUGGAAAUGCAUUAAACCAAUUUGUCUUAAUAUUCGAAUGGGAAAAUAAAGCGUAAAACUUCUCAAAAAUAAACAAUUGAUGUGCGUACAUUUA